AUUGAACGCUGGCGGCAGGCUUAACACAUGCAAGUCGAGCGGGGUGAUGGUGCUUGCACUAUCACUUAGCGGCGGACGGGUGAGUAAUGCUUAGGAAUCUGCCUAUUAGUGGGGGACAACAUCUCGAAAGGGAUGCUAAUACCGCAUACGUCCUACGGGAGAAAGCAGGGGAUCACUUGUGACCUUGCGCUAAUAGAUGAGCCUAAGUCGGAUUAGCUAGUUGGUGGGGUAAGGGCCUACCAAGGCGACGAUCUGUAGCGGGUCUGAGAGGAUGAUCCGCCACACUGGGACUGAGACACGGCCCAGACUCCGACGGGAGGCAGCAGUGGGGAAUAUUGGACAAUGGGGGGAACCCUGAUCCAGCCAUGCCGCGUGUGUGAAGAAGGCCUUAUGGUUGUAAAGCACUUUAAGCGAGGAGGAGGCUCUUUUGGUUAAUACCCAAGAUGAGUGGACGUUACUCGCAGAAUAAGCACCGGCUAACUCUGUGCCAGCCGCCGCGGUAAUAC
rnacentral:rRNA from 1 species